AGGAAAAGAAACCAACAGGGAUUGCCCCAGUAACGGCGAGUGAAGCGGCAACAGCUCAAAUUUGAAAUCUGGCCCCCCGGCCCGAGUUGUAAUUUGGAGAGGAUGCUUUUGGCGCGGCGCCGUCCGAGUUCCUUGGAACAGGACGCCACAGAGGGUGAGAGCCCCGUACGGACGGACGCCUAGCCUCUACAAAGCUCCUUCGACGAGUCGAGUAGUUUGGGAAUGCUGCUCAAAAUGGGAGGUAAAUUUCUUCUAAAGCUAAAUACCGGCCAGAGACCGAUAGCGCACAAGUAGAGUGAUCGAAAGAUGAAAAGCACUUUGAAAAGAGGGUUAAAAAGUACGUGAAAUUGUUGAAAGGGAAGCGCCUGUGACCAGACUUGCGCCCCGUGGACCAUCCGGCGUUCUCGCCGGUGCACUCUGCGGGGCGCAGGCCAGCAUCGGUUCUCCUAGGGGGAUAAAGGCCGCGGGAACGUAGCUCCUUCGGGAGUGUUAUAGCCCGCGGUGGCAUGCCCCUGGGGGGACCGAGGACCGCGCUUCGGCAAGGAUGCUGGCGUAAUGGUCACCAGCGACCCGUCUUGAAACACGGACCAAG
rnacentral:rRNA from 1 species